UUCCCCUCCAAGCCACACAUAACCCUAUUUUUACAUCCAAAUAUCUCUCCUUUAUUCAACCUCUCUCUCUGGAUCCUGAUGGAAUUCAAGUUCAGAGCACUCUUAUCUUCUUCUUCCUCCUAUCGCUUCUCACCCACUAGAAGCAUGGAUCAAAGCUGGUGCAGAAGUACCAGAUCACUCUUGGCCAAGACGGUGAUUUACCUUACGAUAAAGCCAACAUUGUUGAAGGAAGGCAGAGAGACUAAAAACUCCUUGCUGAUGAUUUUUGAGGAGCCACCAGGUUCCAGAUGCUAGCAUGAUGCAACCAGACUUUCCUGAACAGACAACCCCACCAAUGUGCCUUGGAGAUCUGCUUCCCCAGAGCCCUGCCCCACCAGAGAAAGUGAGAGACAGGCUGAGAGUAUGAAUCAACCUGUCAACACCCAUGUUCAGUGAGGAAGCAAUUACAGAAGCCAGAACUUCAACCUUCUGCAUCCCACAGUAACCUUGGGUCCAUACUCCCA